AUGGUUGUCGUCAGCUCGUGUCGUGAGAUGUUGGGUUAAGUCCCGCAACGAGCGCAACCCCUACGUUUAGUUGCUAACGCGUGAAGGCGAGCACUCUAGACGAACUGCCGUUGACAAAACGGAGGAAGGUGGGAUGACGUCAAAUCAUCAUGCCCCUUAUGUUCUGGGCUACACACGUGCUACAAUGGCCGGUACAGACGGACGCAAAGCCGCGAGGUGGAGCAAAUCCUAAAAAGCCGGUCUCAGUUCGGAUUGCAGGCUGCAAUUCGCCUGCAUGAAGUCGGAAUCGCUAGUAAUCGCAGGUCAGCAUACUGCGGUGAAUACGUUCCCGGGCCUU
rnacentral:rRNA from 1 species